rnacentral:lncRNA from 1 species
UCCGUUGCGUGUGGUUUCACAUCGAGAUCAUUUAUCAUCGCCAAAAACAGAAUUGGACCGAGUUUAGUUCCCUGGGGGACACCCGCAUUCAUUGGCAACCAGUCUGACGUUUUUCCUCCAAGUUUGACCCGAUGACGGCGGUUAGUUAGGAAGUUGAUAAUCCAAGGCAACAGGGACGAUUUCAAGGAGAUACUUUAAAGUUAAGCACAGUUUCAAAACUGUUAAUAAAGUUAAGCUAGAUGAUUGACUGUGUGAAUCCAACAUCCCGGACAGGUCUUGACAGGAAACAUGAUUGGAUUGAUGGGAUGAAAUGGGAGUAAAUCUCAGGUCAAACAGUUAUGAUAGUUGAUGAGAGUUCAAGCCACUCUCGCUUGCAUUCCCCUGCCAACUCACAUCAACAUUGAACUGAUUCAAAUUUUGAUGAGAGUUGAUGAUUAGAGGCUUGUUUCAACUUUGUUAAAUGGAGAAUUGGAGUAAUGUAUAAAUAGUGAACUGGAAAAUAAUGUGCAAUCAAAUGCAAAGAUUUUUGCUGAGGAGUUCAGAAAUUUGUUGCCAAGAUUCAAAUGUCUUUCCAAAUUAUGCUGAAUAUAGUAAUUUGUAAUUGUGUCUGCAUUCAUACUUAUCUCCAAGCCAAACUGAAUUCAAAGUCAUCGGACAUCAUGACAAUACAUAUGUUCGACCCAUUUAACUCAAAGUCAUUGAACAUUUUGUCAGACGGUUCUUUGACCGACAUGUCGACUUGAAGGCCUGUAUAUUGAGCAGCUGUUAUUGUUUGUAUUGCCAAAUAACUUGUCUGUAAGUGCAGUAUUCAUUUGUCAUAUUAGUAGAAAUAACGACAGAAUCAUACAAUUUUUUCGGAACCCUAGCUACUCUAGCUUUAUAGUUUGUCAGGAUAGUCGCACUUGUGUUUACAAUAAGAUGGAUGAUCAAACAAUUUUGAUGGAUGACGGAUGAUCAGCAAUUAAUCAUACAAUUUUUUCACAACCCUAGCUAUUCCAGCUUAGUUUGUCAGGAUAGUCGGACUUGUGUUUACAAUAAGAUGGAUGAUCCAUGUCUAGUAUGAUUUAAGUUAAUGAAUAAUGACAAGUAAUCACUGGGAUUAUAUAUUAAAAAUAUGUUGUUUACUGUACUUAAUUGUCUAUGCCAAGGAUUUAUGAAAAUUCAUAUGGCUACUCCCAAAAAAUCUUGACAACAUUUCGUUUACAACUUGUUUUUCCCAAUAUAAUAACCCUGUCUCUAAUAUAAUAUUACAGUAAUAUGAAUGGUGAUAUAUUGAACACUAUUUAUAGCAAGUUUAUGUACUAAAAGGUUUUUAAAUUAUUGCACAUUUCUGAAUAGUAAAAACCGGUUUCAAAAUAGAAACAAAACAGGAAAACCAGUAAGUCGGCCAAGCUUAAGGUUUAACAUUUUUAAUUAACAUCGGUGUGACACAACAGGGGAACAUGUACACCUGUUAUGAUUAAUGUACGGAUGGCUGCAUUUUAAGAGAAGUUUUUUGUACAUGUUGUGAGCAAAUUAGACAUGGGAAAACUGAUGACAAAAUUGAGUUUGAUGCUCAAAUUAUUAUAAAAGUUUUCUGUAACCCAUUAAGCACCAGCGCUCUCCCCUUGAUGAGUAAAAUCGUCUGGCAUUAGACGGAGUUUACAAAAUAAUAAAGUUAAGGGUGCAUCAGGGCACAAUGCGACUCAAUGGGAAGGUAGGCCAGUUAGCCCAUUAGCACCAGUGCUCUUCCCUUGAUGAGUAAAAUUGUCUGGCAUUAGACAGAAUAAAAUAAUAAAGUAGGGCGCAUCAGGACACAAUGCGACUCAAAAGGUUAAUAUCUUUUAACAAUGUUGUUUAUCUAAAUGGCUCUCCCCUUGACAAGUAAAAUUGUCUGGCAUUAGACAGAGUGAAAUAUAAAUAAUACAGUCUGUAGUGCAUUUGGGCACAUUGGAUCAUUUCAGAAAACAUCCAUACCUCUCCCAUGAAGGAAAUUGGAAGUAUCCCCCCUACCCCUUAGGAUGUCCUAACACACUAACUAUUAUAAUCAGAAACUAAUUUUUCUCCCCUUCACCUCCUGACAGCAGAAAUUUCCUCCUUGGGCUAUGGUUGAUCUUUUCUGGAACAAACCAUGCAGCCUUAAUCCUCAAGUGGUAUUUAAUGCCCCAAUGUACCAUACUUUGUUAUUUUACUCUGUCUAAUGCCAGACGAUUUUAUACUUGUCAAGGGAAGUGGCAGCACUCAAUGUUUAAUCAGAC